AAUGUUUCAGCCUAUCACAGCCGUUAGAUUGAUGCAGCUUCUCAGUUGGCGGUAGACACGUGUCCUCAUCGUCUUCGAUUCUGGUUGCUAUAAAGGCCCCUGAACCGGCCAUGGUUCUUCUCGCUCUGCAUAGGGUUUAAUCUCCGUAGUCUCUCUGUUUGCCUCUCAUUUCCGUAUCCUUAAUCUUUCGCGGGCAAUAUCUCGGCGUUGUUUCUUCUCAGUUAUACACCGGCGGUCUCUAAUUCGCUUGGUGCAGCUUGUUCGGGAAAUGUUUGGGCGAAUUGGAUCCCGCCUUGCAUCAACUGAAUCGGAAACCGUGGUGAAGAUUGCUUGGAUUCUUACCUUCCUACAGAUCUCAGGUACGGAGUUUCUCUUACUUUUGAGAGAGAACGAGUUAAUUUAAUUGUUCGCAUUUUUUCAUGAUUGGAGUUGUAGAACUUUGUUGCUAGUUUCGAUUUCUCUCCAUGACUGAAAUUAAUAACCGGUUUGAAAAUUACAUAAUAGAUCUGGUCUGUGCUCUGAAUCUUAUUUAAUUAUCUUUCUUCCUUUGUCGUCCGCUUUCGGAGUUAACUACUGAAGAGCUUUAGCUGUGUUUCGCAUUGAGGCUGAUGUUUGUAUAUCAUAGAGCUAGAGUUAUUGUCGUUGAAGUUAUUUGGUUUCUGUUUAUUGCUUCCAUCCAUGAAACACAAUGACAGAUGUUACAUCUAAUUUUGGACAUAAAACUCCGAUUCUAAUCCGUAUGGAAUAACGGAACUGUUAGAACUUUGUGUAUCAUAGAUCCAGAUUUAUUAUCGUUGAAGGUAUUUGGUUUCAGUUUAUUGCUUCCAUCCAUGGAACACAAUGAGAGAUGCUACUUCUAAUUUUGACAUAAAACUUCGAUUCGAAUCCGUAUAGAAUAACGGAACUGUUAGAACAUUAUACUUCAUAUUCUACUCCUGCUAAAAAAUCAAAGGUCAAAGAAAAAAAAAAGAAAAGGAAAAGAGAGAGAUGACAAUAAUCUUUGAACUGCUGUUUACCUUGUAAUAGUGUUUGGUCCAAUUAAUUGAUCUGUUUGCUGAGUACAUUUUCCGCGAAUAAUGAGUUUGACAAAAAGAAAGAAAGAAGUGGCGACCUGUUUGUAAGUUGUAAUCUUCUGGUAAUUCUUGUAUGACUGUAGAAUUCCCCGCCAAACCAGGUUUCCUGAAUUUUUGUUCCCUUCGUUUGCAUAGUGCAGAGUAGAACUAGAACAAUGAAACUUGUAUUCCGAAAAAGGGGGGAUUUGUUUUCAUUUGUCGGCUCCUGGGCCGUCUGGCUCCAUCAUUCCAUGAUAAUAGCCUGUGGAAAUGGAGACAUUCCGAUUCCUUUCGUUCGGAAAUUAAGUAUAAGUGAACUGAUUGUGUUCCAUUGUAAUAGGAAAUAGCCAGUAGGUUUUGUGGUUGGUAGGUGGUUCACCAUAAAAGCGAAAAUUGUUUGUUAUAAAAUUAUUUUUUAAAAUUAUAAUACCCUUUUUAAAAAA